AACGAACGCUGGCGGCAGGCCUAACACAUGCAAGUCGAGCGAGGACUUCGGUCCUAGCGGCGGACGGGUGAGUAACGCGUGGGAACGUGCCCUUUGCUACGGAAUAGCCCCGGGAAACUGGGAGUAAUACCGUAUGUGCCCGAGAGGGGAAAGAUUUAUCGGCAAAGGAUCGGCCCGCGUUGGAUUAGGUAGUUGGUGGGGUAAUGGCCUACCAAGCCGACGAUCCAUAGCUGGUUUGAGAGGAUGAUCAGCCACACUGGGACUGAGACACGGCCCAGACUCCUACGGGAGGCAGCAGUGGGGAAUCUUAGACAAUGGGCGCAAGCCUGAUCUAGCCAUGCCGCGUGAGCGAUGAAGGCCUUAGGGUUGUAAAGCUCUUUCAGUGGGGAAGAUAAUGACGGUACCCACAGAAGAAGCCCCGGCUAACUCCGUGCCAGCAGCCGCAGUAAAAC
rnacentral:rRNA from 1 species